AUGAGCUCGCGGCCUAUCAGCUUGUUGGUGAGGUAAUGGCUCACCAAGGCGUCGACGGGUAGCCGGCCUGAGAGGGUGACCGGCCACACUGGGACUGAGACACGGCCCAGACUCCUACGGGAGGCAGCAGUGGGGAAUAUUGCACAAUGGGCGAAAGCCUGAUGCAGCAACGCCGCGUGAGGGAUGACGGCCUUCGGGUUGUAAACCUCUUUUAGCAGGGAAGAAGCGAAAGUGACGGUACCUGCAGAAAAAGCGCCGGCUAACUACGUGCCAGCAGCCGCGGUAAUACGUAGGGCGCAAGCGUUAUCCGGAAUUAUUGGGCGUAAAGAGCUCGUAGGCGGUCUGUCGCGUCUGCUGUGAAAACCCGAGGCUCAACCUCGGGCCUGCAGUGGGUACGGGCAGACUAGAGUGCGGUAGGGGAGAUUGGAAUUCCUGGUGUAGCGGUGGAAUGCGCAGAUAUCAGGAGGAACACCGAUGGCGAAGGCAGAUCUCUGGGCCGUAACUGACGCUGAGGAGCGAAAGGGUGGGGAGCAAACAGGCUUAGAUACCCUGGUAGUCCACCCCGUAAACGUUGGGAACUAGUUGUGGGGUCCAUUCCACGGAUUCCGUGACGCAGCUAACGCAUUAAGUUCCCCGCCUGGGGAGUACGGCCGCAAGGCUAAAACUCAAAGGAAUUGACGGGGACCCGCACAAGCGGCGGAGCAUGCGGAUUAAUUCGAUGCAACGCGAAGAACCUUACCAAGGCUUGACAUAUACGAGAACGGGCCAGAAAUGGUCAACUCUUUGGACACUCGUAAACAGGUGGUGCAUGGUUGUCGUCAGCUCGUGUCGUGAGAUGUUGGGUUAAGUCCCGCAACGAGCGCAACCCUCGUUCUAUGUUGCCAGCACGUAAUGGUGGGAACUCAUGGGAUACUGCCGGGGUCAACUCGGAGGAAGGUGGGGAUGACGUCAAAUCAUCAUGCCCCUUAUGUCUUGGGCUUCACGCAUGCUACAAUGGCCGGUACAAAGGGCUGCAAUACCGCGAGGUGGAGCGAAUCCCAAAAAGCCGGUCCCAGUUCGGAUUGAGGUCUGCAACUCGACCUCAUGAAGUCGGAGUCGCUAGUAAUCGCAGAUCAGCAACGCUGCGGUGAAUACGUUCCCGGGUCUUGUACACACCGCCCGUCAAGUCAUGAAAGUCGGUAACACC
rnacentral:rRNA from 1 species